rnacentral:rRNA from 1 species
CAGCCGCCGCGGUAAUACGAAGGGGGCUAGCGUUGUUCGGAAUUACUGGGCGUAAAGCGCACGUAGGCGGAUAUUUAAGUCAGGGGUGAAAUCCCGCAGCUCAACUGCGGAACUGCCUUUGAUACUGGGUAUCUUGAGUAUGGAAGAGGUUAGUGGAAUUGCGAGUGUAGAGGUGAAAUUCGUAGAUAUUCGCAGGAACACCAGUGGCGAAGGCGGCUAACUGGUCCAUAACUGACGCUGAGGUGCGAAAGCGUGGGGAUCAAACAGGAUUAGAUACCCCUGUAGUCCCUGUCUCUUAUAC